rnacentral:lncRNA from 1 species
CAGCCACAGACCACAGAAUUCUAUUUUCUCUUGGCCACAGAGACUCAAACUGAAGCAUUUCUCACAUCUCCUUGUCAAGACUCAAGAUUGAGAGCUUAUCAUUCAGCCUCAGAACUUGACGGGAGACAGAAUACAACUAUAAUUUCAUGGCGAACCCAAACCCCAGAAGUGACUGCUCAGACUCAGAGAAGUCUCAUAUGAAAAUAAAUUCCCCAGAGAGCCUCUCAAGGGGUGAUCUCCCUAAUUCCCACACCUUUCACCAAAAGACCAAAACCCCCUUCAGAGGUUACAUCUGUCGCCGGGAGACGACAACCUUCUAUGAAGGAUGUGUUGUGGGUUCUUCAAUCAACAACCUCCCCCCUGUGGAAGAACCAGAGGACACACAAAGUCUAGGAAGAUACAUGGGCCACAACUCUCGCACUAAGGACAACCCCAACCUGGUGUGUGCACCAAAUACUGGCGUUGAAGAGGAUGAGGACACAGACUCAGACAGCAAAGGAGCAGGAGCUGAUCAAAUUGUUACUGACAAUGACCAGCAGAUAAACAAGAAUUCAACAUUCAGGGGGCAACGGAUUGACCACGUGGCUGGCUGGCCAGUAAUUCAGCCUGUCAGUCCUAAACUCACUCAGGAACAAGCAGCAGAAGAGAGGAACAAGGAGGAGAGAAAGGAGGAAAGCAAAAGCAGUGAGGAUGAGGAUAAGGAAGCUGAUAAACAAAUUGAAAAUGGUGAAAACCAAGAUGAAGGCUUGCUAAUGGGAUCAACUGAACAAGAAAAAAAGGACGUGGAGAUCAAGAACAACAAAGACAUGGAGAGUAAUAAAAAAGAGUAUGUGGAGCUUUAUGCACAAAUCCAGGUGUAUGAAAGAUCUGAUGACACCAGGCUACCUGAUUCCACUGAGGACAAGGGAAAACAGAACAGUGAGAGUCACAAGGAGAAGGAAGAAAUACAAAUCAAUGAAGAGCCUCAGGACGCUGAUAAACAAAGCCAUGGCUAUGACAAAGACGAUGCCCUCCAGCUCCGAGAUCCACCUGAGGAAAACUUCCAGCUGGGCAGCAGAUCCCCUCCUCAUCCAGCUCAGGUCCUGUGUGAAGAACAGUGUACAUGUGAGGACCUGCCUGCCUGUAAACCACUAGGAAAUACAGAAGUCACCCAAGUCCCAGAGAUGCCAGCGAUGCUCCCAGAAGAUGAACCUGCUGAGAUGCUGAAGAUCAGCACUGAGUGGUCCUCCUCGGUCUCCUCUGGGGAGUCAGAGGAGGACGACACUGGAUCUGACACACAAACCAUAACCUGUGUGAAUUGGAGGCAGGCCUUCCGCCGGCUCCGGAAAAGAGUCCUCACGUGUCUGGGGAGGAGAGUGAUGGUCAGCAGCCCACCAGCAACCCCAACCAAGAAAAGUCUUCCCACCUCCAAGGAAACCCACCCCAAAAGAACCCUCAGAGAUUUAUUCCCCACACCCCGUCCACUAAGCACACUAAGUGGUGUGAUGUUGGCCCCAC